AUUGAACGCUGGCGGCAGGCCUAACACAUGCAAGUCGAGCGGAUGAAGGGAGCUUGCUCCUGGAUUCAGCGGCGGACGGGUGAGUAAUGCCUAGGAAUCUGCCUGGUAGUGUGGGAUAACGUCCGGAAACGGGCGCUAAUACCGCAUACGUCCUGAGGGAGAAAGUGGGGGAUCUUCGGACCUCACGCUAUCAGAUGAGCCUAGGUCGGAUUAGCUAGUUGGUGGGGUAAAGGCCUACCAAGGCGACGAUCCGUAACUGGUCUGAGAGGAUGAUCAGUCACACUGGAAGUGAGACACGGUCGAGACUCCUACGGGAGGCAGCAGUGGGGAAUAUUGGAAAAUGGGCGAAAGCCUGAUCCAGCCAUGGCGCGUGUGUGAAGAAGGUCUUCGGAUUGUAAAGCAGUUUAAGUUGGGAGGAAGGGCAGUAAGUUAAUACCUUGCUGUUUGGACGUUACCAACAGAAUAAGCACCGGCGAACUUCGU
rnacentral:rRNA from 1 species